rnacentral:rRNA from 1 species
ACUCCUACGGGAGGCAGCAGUGGGGAAUUUUGGACAAUGGGCGCAAGCCUGAUCCAGCAAUGCCGCGUGAGUGAAGAAGGCCUUCGGGUUGUAAAGCUCUUUUGUCAGGGAAGAAACGGUGAAGGCUAAUAUCUUUUGCUAAUGACGGUACCUGAAGAAUAAGCACCGGCUAACUACGUGCCAGCAGCCGCGGUAAUACGUAGGGUGCAAGCGUUAAUCGGAAUUACUGGGCGUAAAGCGUGCGCAGGCGGUUUUGUAAGUUUGUCGUGAAAUCCCCGGGCUCAACCUGGGAAUGGCGAUGAAGACUGCAAGGCUAGAAUCUGGCAGAGGGGGGUAGAAUUCCACGUGUAGCAGUGAAAUGCGUAGAGAUGUGGAGGAACACCGAUGGCGAAGGCAGCCCCCUGGGUCAAGAUUGACGCUCAUGCACGAAAGCGUGGGGAGCAAACAGGAUUAGAUACCCUGGUAGUCCACGCCCUAAACGAUGUCUACUAGUUGUCGGGUUUUAAUUAACUUGGUAACGCAGCUAACGCGUGAAGUAGACCGCCUGGGGAGUACGGUCGCAAGAUUAAAACUCAAAGGAAUUGACGGGGACCCGCACAAGCGGUGGAGCAUGUGG